rnacentral:snoRNA from 1 species
GUCUUCUCAAUGAGCUCCGCCCUGUCUACCGGUGACAGGCUGUGGAUUCGCACGAGAAGAAGAGAAACUUUAGCACCACACAGUGUUGUGUGUCACCUCGUCAUGGGGACACACCUGUGCGUGGCUGUGAGACAGAC